AGGGUUUGAUCAUGGCUCAGGAUGAACGCUAGCGGCAGGCCUAACACAUGCAAGUCGAGGGGCAGCAUAAUUAUUCGUAAGAAUAAUGGUGGCGACCGGCGCACGGGUGCGUAACGCGUAUGCAACCUACCUUUUACUGGGGUAUAGCCCGGAGAAAUCCGGAUUAAUCCCCCAUAGUACUGACAAUUCGCAUGAUGAGUCAGUUAAAGUUUCGGCGGUAAAAGAUGGGCAUGCGUCCUAUUAGCUAGAUGGUAAGGUAACGGCUUACCAUGGCUACGAUAGGUAGGGGGCCUGAGAGGGUGGUCCCCCACACUGGUACUGAGACACGGACCAGACUCCUACGGGAGGCAGCAGUGAGGAAUAUUGGUCAAUGGGCGCAAGCCUGAACCAGCCAUGCCGCGUGCAGGAAGAAUGUCCUAUGGAUUGUAAACUGCUUUUAUUUGGGAAUAAACCCCCCGACGUGUCGGGGCCUGAAGGUACCAAAUGAAUAAGCACCGGCUAACUCCGUGCCAGCAGCCGCGGUAAUACGGAGGGUGCAAGCGUUAUCCGGAAUCUUGGGUUUAAAGGGUCC
rnacentral:rRNA from 1 species